GCCACUGUGGUCUAGCGGUUAGAACGCUGGCCUUGUAAUCCUGGGGUCUCGGGUUCGAUUCCCGGCGGUGCCA
rnacentral:tRNA from 1 species